UUACCUGGAUAAGAGACUCGAAGGGUUAAAUGACAAUCAGCAUAUCUUCUUCUUCUCUGUCAGUGUUUCCUGUGCAGACCCGAUGGCGGUCUCCGUGUCGGACCGUUUUUGGUGACCUUCUUGAGGACACGGCGCCUGUGAUCCUCCUCCCACCGGAGCCUCUCCUCGCUCUGCAAUCAGCUCCACAUUUACAUUCAGAUGACUGCGGCGAGGCUGCCGGGGCGCCGGAAUGUAAAUUUACCCAGAGAUCAGCUGGGGACUGGCGUAGAUUGAAGAGGGAGGCGGAGGCUGAUCGCGUCCUCACACCCGUCCUCGCACGACAUCUACCAUCCGGCCCCGAGCCUUAAUCACCAGGAUUUCAUCAGAGAGGAGUCCACGGGGGGGAAAUCACCUCUGUGGUAGAGCUUCUCUGUGAACAGAGCUCGGUGUUGAGCAGGCGUUCGUGUCUGCAGCUGGCCGGAUGCCUCUCACUUCAGCUCCCUCUGAGCCCACAACUGCUCUUCGCAUCAGCUGACUCAAGAUGUCCAGUUAUUGACUCGUUUGUUAUGCGUUUGCUGCCGCCGUCCUCACAGCGACCUGCUCGUAAAAAUCAGUCGGCGGCAAAAUAAAACGGCGGUCAUCUCAGGUCGCCAGCUCGUCAUCGGCAAAAAAGAAAAAUCCUGAUUGAGAUUCAGAGGAGAGCGGCUCGCCUCACCCCGACGUGACUCCGCUCUGCAGGCACUGACCCGCUGCAGAGGAAAAUCAGACGCUUCAGACGGCAGAUUAUUCUUCGUUUCCUUCCUCCACCAGCUUUCA